GGGAAGGUGGCAUCUCCGCUGCGCACCGGCACUCCUGUGGGUACAAGGAACAGCAGCCUGAGAGACACGACCACGAGGCACUUCCAGGGCAGGAACAGUGUGUGCAAAGGGAAGGACAGAGAGGAAGAAGGACUGUUGAUUGCUUUGGAGAAUGAUAAUCUACUGUCUUAGAAGAUGGGGAAAACAUCAAGAAGGUACAUUAAUUAAAACUGGACAGAAAGCAGGAGAGCUGUUCCACCUUUCUUGGCAAAGAAACAAAAUGAAGAUUUCGCUUAUGGUUUUGCAAGCUCUGUCAUUUCCUCUUGGGAUGUACUAAUGAAUGUAGCCCAUCUCUCUAGUUCUGACCCCAUGUCAUUCCAUCUGCUAGUGUUACAGGACACAAGAUUAAAGGCGAUGAGGUGAGGUCAAGAUGAGGGGGUGUAUUUGAUCAAAGGAUAAAAGAAAUUUGUGCUUCUUUUUUUUCCUGUGGACUAAUUAUCCCAAUUAGAUUGAAAAUGGAGCUAUUCAUAAGCUUACAAAGAUUAAUGUCACGAAUAUUUAAAGAACUUCUAGCAAUAAGUCAAUGAUAAGGGCACAGCAACCUAGUAGAAAAAUGGAUCAAGUAAAUGGAAAAGCACAGUGGAAAUGAAGACACAUACCAGAAACCCCAAUGAUCCAACGGUCUACAAUACUGACCCAUGUACAUAGAACCAACAAAUACACAUGAAAAUGUCUCGAUUAGGCUGGCAAAAUGGCUCAGUGGGUAAAGGUGCUACUACCAAGCCUGAUGAUCAGAGUUCUCUCCUGGAGAUUCAGAAAGUGGAAGAUGAUAAAUGACUCUGAAAAGGUGUCCUCUUGCUUGCACACAUGUAUCUCUACACACAUGGCACACACACACACACACACACACACACACACACACACAGAGUCCAAAUGGAAUAAAAAUAUCUGAUGUUACUAAGUA